rnacentral:rRNA from 1 species
GACGAACGCUGGCGGCGUGCUUAACACAUGCAAGUCGAACGGAAAGGCCCUGCUUUUGUGGGGUGCUCGAGUGGCGAACGGGUGAGUAACACGUGAGUAACCUGCCCUUGACUUUGGGAUAACUUCAGGAAACUGGGGCUAAUACCGGAUAGGAGCUCCUGCUGCAUGGUGGGGGUUGGAAAUUUUCGGCGGUUGGGGAUGGACUCGCGGCUUAUCAGCUUGUUGGUGGGGUAGUGGCUUACCAAGGCUUUGACGGGUAGCCGGCCUGAGAGGGUGACCGGCCACAUUGGGACUGAGAAACGGCCCAGACUCCUACGGGAGGCAGCAGGGGGGAAUAUUGCACAAUGGGCGGAAGCCUGAUGCAGCAACGCCGCGUGCGGGAUGACGGCCUUCGGGUUGUAAACCGCUUUCGCCUGUGACGAAGCGUGAGUGACGGUAAUGGGUAAAGAAGCACCGGCUAACUACGUG